CCUGGCGGCCGUAGCGCGGUGGUCCCACCUGACCCCAUGCCGAACUCAGAAGUGAAACGCCGUAGCGCCGAUGGUAGUGUGGGGUCUCCCAUGCGAGAGUAGGGAACUGCCAGGC
rnacentral:rRNA from 4 species